AUGUCCGGAGGAAGUUGGGGGCCCGCCGCUCUACCUUGCAAACUUCCCGGGCGCAGGAGGGCGGCGCGGAGCGCGUCUCCGGGAGCCGAGGGGGUCCUGCCCUCCAGCCGCGUCGGGCGCGGGCGGCGAGUCGGCGGGCCGCAGGUGUCCGCGGGGCUGCGCGCCGCACGGGAGAAGCCGCUGCCGGGACCCGGGAGGGAGCGAGGCCGGCGGCUGCGGGGACGCUCCGCGCGGCGCUGCCUUCCCGGGCGGCGGUCCGCGGCUCAAGACCGGGAGGCCGCGCGGACCCACGGGCGCUCCGAGGACGGGCGCGGAGUUCUUUCUGGGAGAGCACUUUAUAAACUGCUGGGUCUUCUGGGUAUGGCUUUCCACGGGUGGAGCAAAGCCCAUUUUCACCAGGCAAAGUGGAUGACAACAGAGUCUGCAAGUCUGGCAGCCACAGGUGCCCGGGAGGACCUUGAUAUCGUCUGUCCCCAGGGCUCCGUGCGACGAGGACAUUCCGCAGGGUGCCCUUCAUGUCAGGACCGUGAGACAUCGUCCUGCUUGUUAAACACCAGCAAAGAUUUCUGAUAAUUCAAGAGUGCGGGAAGUCCAGCACUGAGAACUAAGUUGUGGGACUUCACAGACCCACCUGUCUGGCCCCGCUUUGCCCUCUCCGGGCUGCACGCACUGCCACCCUCUCUGGAGCCUGUGGAGCGGGUGUCCAGGAAGCUUCAGACCGGCUGGAGGGCUUCGGCCAGAGGAGACACGCCCUUGGCUCUCAGCGGGCUCGGCAGCCAGACGGGCCAGCAUCGCGCAUUCGGGUAAGACCUAAUUUCUCUAUUGUUGUUGUUGUUUUAUGGCUGCAAUGUUUUGGUCUUGUUUGAAAACUCAUUGCCUCCUCCAAGUUCAAUAAGACAUCUGUGGUUUCUGUUUGAAGUCUCAUGUUUCACUUCCUGAGUUUGAUCUAUGUUCCAUUUCAAGGUAAUUCUUGUGAAUGGCGUGAAGUAAAUAUCGAGGGUUAUUUUCAUUCCUAUGCUAAUGCAUUUUUUUGCUGCAGAAUCUAUUGAAAAGACAAUCCUUGCCCCUGUGAGUUACUUUGGUAUUUCUGACAAAAAUUUGUUGAUUAUAUGCAUGUAAGACAUUUUUGGGCUUUUUACUCUGUUCCAUCCUAUAUAUGGCUGCCCUUACGGAAAUACCGCUCUGUCUGGUUGACUGUGGAUAUACAAUGAGUCUUAAAAUCGGCAAAUGUAAGUCCUCCCACUCUCCUCGUUUUCAGAACUAUUUAGACCAUUCUAGUUCCUUUGCAUUUUCAUUUCCACUCUGUAAUUCGUUUGACUAUUUCCAUUCAACAAAGUCCUAGAAGGUUUUGAUUGGGAUUAUUCAUAUAUCAAUUUGGGGAGAAUUAAUAUCUUAACAAUAUUGAGCCCUUCGUUUCAUGAAUGUGGUAAAUCUAACUUAUUUAGGUUGUCUGUGAUUUCAGCAACAUUUUGUAAUUUUUACUGUACAGGAAAUGCACAUCUUUUGAUGAUUUUGUCCAAAUAAUUUUUGAGCGGUAUUGUUUUUUAAAUUUCAGUUUUCAGUUGUUCAU
ensembl:lncRNA